rnacentral:sRNA from 2 species
AAUGAAGGCACGCAGACUAAAAACACCACUUCCUGCGGCAACUUCUGCAUGACCCGCAUCCUCCCAG